UCCGAGUUAUCCCCGGCAGUCUCCUAUGAGUCCCCGGCCGAACCGCUGGCAACAUAGGACAAGGGUUGCGCUCGUUGCGGGACUUAACCCAACAUCUCACGACACGAGCUGACGACAGCCAUGCACCACCUGUCAUGGGCCCUUUCGGACACCGUGUUUCCACGGCUUUUCCCAUGAUGUCAAACCCAGGUAAGGUUCUUCGGGUUGCAUCGAAUUAAGCCGCAUGCUCCGCCGCUUGUGCGGGGACCCGUCAAUUCCUUUGAGUUUUAGCCUUGCGGCCGUACUCCCCAGGCGGGACACUUAAUGCGUUAGCUUCGGCACGGCAGUCGUUGAUCAGACCGCCACACCUAGUGUCCAACGUUUACAGCGUGGACUAC
rnacentral:misc_RNA from 1 species